rnacentral:rRNA from 1 species
CCUACGGGAGGCAGCAGUGGGGAAUAUUGCACAAUGGGGGAAACCCUGAUGCAGCGACGCCGCGUGGGUGACGAAGUAUUUCGGUAUGUAAAGCCCUAUCAGUAGGGAAGAAGAUGACAGUACCUGACGAAGAAGCCCCGGCUAACUACGUGCCAGCAGCCGCGGUAAUACGUAGGGGGCAAGCGUUAUCCGGCUUUACUGGGGGUAAAGGGAGCGUAGGUGGCGUGGCAAGCCAGAAGUGAACACCCGGGGCUUAACCCCGCGGAUUGCUUUUGGAACUGUCAGGCUGGAGUGCAGGAGGGGCCGGCUGCAUUCCUGGUGUAGCGGUGAAAUGCGUAGAUAUCAGGAGUAACCCCGGUGGCGACGGCGGCCUGCUGGACUGUACCUGACCCUGUGGCUCGAUCGCGUGGGGAGCACACAGGAUUAGAUACCCUUGUAGUC